UACAGAGACUGCAAGCGUUAUUCGGAUUCACUGGGCGUAAAGGGUGCGCAGGCGGUUGGGUGUGUCAGAUGUGAAAUCCCGAGGCUUAACCUCGGAACUGCGUCUGAAACUACUCGACUAGAGUACUGGAGAGGGAAACGGGAUUCACGGUGUAGCAGUGAAAUGCGUAGAUAUCGUGAGGAACACCAGAGGCGAAGGCGGUUUCCUGGACAGUUACUGACGCUCAGGCACGAAAGCAUGGGGAGCAAAAGGG
rnacentral:rRNA from 1 species